CCCCUUGAGAGUGGCGAACGGGUGAGUAAUAUAUCGGAACGUGCCCAGUCGUGGGGGAUAACGUAGUGAAAAUUACGCUAAUACCGCAUACGAUCUAAGGAUGAAAGCGGGGGAUCGCAAGACCUCGCGCGACUGGAGCGGCCGAUAUCAGAUUAGGUAGUUGGUAGGGUAAAGGCCUACCAAGCCAACGAUCUGCAGCUGGUCUGAGAGGACGACCAGCCACACUGGAACUGAGACACGGUCCAGACUCCUACGGGAGGCAGCAGUGGGGAAUUUUGGACAAUGGGCGAAAGCCUGAUCCAGCCAUUCCGCGUGCAGGAUGAAGGCCCUCGGGUUGUAAACUGCUUUUGUACAGAACGAAAAGGUUUCUAUUAAUACUAGGAGCUCAUGACGGUACUGUAAGAAUAAGCACCGGCUAACUACGUGCCAGCAGCCGCGGUAAUACGUAGGGUGCAAGCGUUAAUCGGAAUUACUGGGCGUAAAGCGUGCGCAGGCGGUUAUAUAAG
rnacentral:rRNA from 1 species